rnacentral:rRNA from 1 species
ACGGGGUGCAGCAGGCGCGAAAACUCCGCAAUGCGCGCAAGCGUGACGGGGGAAUCCCAAGUGCUGUUGGUCUUAUGAUCGACGGUUUUUAGGAAGUCUAAGAAGCUUCCAGAAUAAGGGCUGGGCAAGACUGGUGCCAGCCUCCGCGGUAACACCAGCAGCUCAAGUGGUGAUCACGUUUACUGGGUUUAGAGCGUACGUAGUCGGUUCAGCAAGUUUUCUGUGAAAUCCUGCCGCUUAACGGUAGGGCUUGCAGAAAAUACUACUGGGCUUGAGGCCGGGGCAGGCGUGGGGUAUUCUGGGGGUAGCGGUGAAAUGCUAUAAUCCCCGGAGGACCACCGGUAGCGAAGGCGCCACGCUAGAACGGGCCUGACGAUGAGGUACGAGAGCUAGGGGAGCGAACAGGAUUAGAUACCCUGGUAGUCCUAGCCGUAAACGAUGUGGGUUUAGUGUUCCCCGAAUCUCGUGUUCGGGGAGUGCUGAAGGGAAACCGUUAAACCCACCACCUGGGGAGUACGGUCGCAAGGCUGAAACUUAAAGGAAUUGGCGGGGGAACACCACAAGGGGUGGAUGCUGCGGUUCAAUUGGAUAAAACGCCGGGAAACUUACCAGACGCGACGGCAGGAUGAAGGCCAGGCUAAAGGUCUUGCCGAACGAGCCGAGAGGUAGUGCAUGGC